ensembl:processed_transcript Gm20407 predicted gene 20407
GCCAGGAUUCAUUCAUUUAUGCCAUUAAAUGUAAACACAAUGAUAAUUCAUUUUAAAAAAUGAACUAUUAUAGCUGGGUGAUGGUAACACACAGCACUCAAGAGGCAGAAGCAGAAUUUCUGAGUUCAAGGCUGCCAGCAACUGUUUUUAAGCAGUUGAUAAUACAGUUAAGCCAGGCUGGCUAGAGAAAUGGAACUGCAGAGCCAAGUAGUAACAGGAGUGUGAAAUCACCAGAGACUAAAACCUCCAAGUGGAAAAUGCUAAGCAGUUUUGUGCCACAAGAUAGAACAAAAUAAAUUUAUUUUAAUUAUUUUGAUAACUAGGCAGGGAGGAAUCAUUAAAACAGUCGUUCUCAACCUGUGAGGAGGGGUUAAAUAUCACAUAUCCUGUAUGUCAAAUGUUUACAUUACAAUUUAUAACAGUAGCAAAAUUACAGUUAUAAAGUAGCAACAAAAUAAUUUUAUGGUUGGAAGGUCACCACAACAUAAACUGUAUUAAAGGGCUGCAGCAUUAGGAAGGUUGAGAACCACUGCAUUAACAGAUUCUGACCCAGAAAAAUAUAAAACUUAUUUUUUUAAAAA